GUUACCUGGAGCAGGUCUGAGUACCUGCCCUGGGGGGCCAAGGAGGAGAAGGCAGAGACAGAGGACAAACUGCAGACCCUGCCCAGAAUAGCAGGCUUUCUACCCUAGACCCUGGGAGACAAAGAACUCCAUGCCUAGGCAGGCCUGAUGUUUGACUAUGAUCCUCAGAAGACCUGAGCCUGAGAAGCUGAAAUCCUGAUGUUGUCCCUUAGACCCUGAGGCUCAGAGAACAAAAUGAAGAAGACAAACUGACAGCAACUGACAGAAAAAGAGCUCAACAGAAAUGAGGCAGAGAAGAUUGGAUGAUAGGAACAGCUAUUUUGGAGAAAAUGACAUCUUAAUAGGUAAUACUGAUUUAGUAUCAUCUUGUUUUGAAGUCUCAUCUAGCUUUUGUUCUUCUGUCCUCAAUGGUCUAAAUGGGUUGUAUCUUAUUGGAUUUUAUUAUGUACGAUAGUAUAAGCAAAAACCUUUUAAAGACAAGGAGAUUAUACAGAAACCAUUGUUCAUUUUCUGUUAGUCGAUUCUAAAUACUCUGUAAUGCUGUCAUUCUCUUAAAUGGUUUUACAUUGUUUUGAUAUACUUAAUGCUACAGUAUACGAAGUUGUACUCAAGGAUUUCAAGGAAAGAGACAAUAUGGUAACUACUUUUGGGUCGGGAUUAUCUGGUGGUGAAACACUAUUCUGCUUAAAUGGUUAUGUUUUGAUCUGCGCUGUUUUGCUGUUAUGCCCUCUUUUAUCUCAAUCUCCACUCCAUUAUUUACUUUUUUAUUUUUAUCCUUUUAAUUAAAGAAAAAAAUAGCAGGAUAUAUUAUAGUAACCCAUUUUGACUUUCCAUUAUCUCGAUUUGAAGCCCUGUAUUACUCUAACCAUCUUGUUUUUGACUGAUGUUCCCCUAUUCUGUUUUGCUGGAUAGUAUCAGGUUCGAAAGUUUAGGCAUCAGCUGUGAAGAUAAUGAGAUUCAUUAUAACUCCCAUUCUCGCUGAUUCUCGUUGACUUUUAUCUACUUUUGAAGACCUACAAUGUCACCAAUGUUUUCGUUUUGUCGGUUUUGUUCUUUACUGUUUUGUUCAAUUUUAUUAUAACUAAUGAUAUAGGCAAUUCUUUUAGAGAUAGCGGGAGGCAUUAUGGUAACCAUUGUUGAUCACCUUGUAUUAUGUUUUUACAUUAUCUAUUAUGUCCACCCUUUUGACUUGACCGAUUCUCUUCUGUUACGUCACAUUUGGUUUUACUCUCUUCCAAAAAAGUAAUAAGAACUGUGGGAGCAAUGAAACCCAAAAUGUGUAAUAGUCAUUGUACAAAAGAGAGGAAAAGAAAGUGCUCUAAACUAUAUAACUGCAUGUAUAUUUAAGUGUAUAAGAUAGAAGAUGAUAUCACAGAGUUUUAUUGGAUCAUUGAACAGAACUGUUUGCAGUAUCAUUGUUGGAAUGUCCACUUUACAAGCUUUAAUUUUGUGACUUGAACAAUUAUUUCUAAGUUGACAAUAUGUAAUCCAUUAACUAGUGAUUUCCUACUGUUCAUUUUUUUCUGUAAAUCUGUAUAACUUGUACCCUUUCUCUGCUUUUUUUUCUUUUCUCCUUAAAUAAAAUUUAAAAAAAAUUUUUUUUUGCUCCCCUCCCAUCCCAAGGGAGUUGGCCCAAAAUGAUCUUUUUAUCCUCUUAACCAACAGUGAGUGAAACAGAAAAUCAAGGGAAGGUGAAGAGUCAGAAAGGCCCUGCCGAACAUGUCUGUCAUCUUUGUGGGCUCUUUUGGGUGGCAUUCGUGGAGGUGCUCUGUGUUGUAGAUUCAACAUUGCCCCCCAGCUCCACCAACUAUCACCUAACACAUAAAUGGAGUCACAGUUGCAACAAAUCAUGCACAUUUGUCUGUGGAGAAUUGAGAAUAGUGUGGAGUGUCCAAGAACCCACCUCCCAGAAGGCUGCAGGCAGCUAACCAACAUAUAGGAAAAGGAUACAAAAUCAUACCACACUGACUGAAGCAUCAGAGAAUAGAUGAGAGCCAAUUUUGGUAAACUUUAUGAAAAACUUUUUUUUAUUUUGAAGCAAUAAAAUAAAAUAAUAAAUGAAAUAAAACAAAACAUUGACAACAAUAUUAAAUUUCAAGAAAAAGACAGAAGGAAAUUUCCCAUAGUUGCUAUAUUGCAUAUUGUUAUCCUCUAAUCAGAUGCUCAGACUACUGGCCACAGACCUACAAAGUCAAUCAACCAGUACAAGCAUUAAGUUAUUUUUAGUACUUCAGUUGCUAUCAUCCCAGCCUGUGUUGCUCUGAAUCAGCUUGUUGCUUACACAGAGGUUGGGGGUUGGGGGUAGGGGUGGGAGAGACUCUUCUUGUCUCCCAGCCUGCAUGCCAGCUGGCUCAUGGGAAAGGCAGGCUAACUUCCUGGUUCUUUUCCAGCCCACAUCUGCCCCUGGCUCAUGGGAAAAGCAAGCUGACUUCUUGGUUCUUUCUUGGUCCACAGCCAUCACUAGCAAAAACUUAUCCUUAAAGAUGACUCUUUAGUAUUCUUGGGUGAGAAUCAUCAAACAGUGACCUCUUAUAUUAGCCGCAAAUCUCUGCACAGUCGGGGAAAUCCUUAAUGUCUGGAAGAAGACAAGACUGAAGUCAAGGAAUAGUUAGAAGGCCAUUUUGUGACUGCAACUCAAAACAAAAGAGAUGCUUAACUCACAAAGGUGAGCUAAGCCACCACAGUACACAGACAAAAAAAUGACAGACUUGAAUACAAUAAGGUAGUAAAACUGACAGGAUCUCACAACUGGUUGGAUACGGUGAGGGAUGUGAAGAGAAGGAGGGAAAGAGUCAACAGUGACUCUCAUUUUCCUGGCCCUGUGGACUUCCUACUCUUAGGAUCUUGAUCUAGAAUAUCAAUAUUCUCAUGUGAUUCAAUCACGAGGGCUCUAUAUUAAUCAGUAGAUUCAUCUAACAAUGCCUUUGAUAGCUAAUGUGCUGUAUGGAGGUUGGGGGCACAACCUAGAAGUAUAUGUCUCCUUCCUUGGUCACUCCUUUCUCUCUGCUUCCUGGCAGCCAUGUUGUGAGCAUCUUCCCUUCCUGCACCCUUCUACCAUGCUGUUUCUGUCUUGGAGCCAGCUGACCAUGGGAUGAACCCACUGAAAUUGUGAGCUAAAAUAAGCCUCUCUCCUUUAAGAUUUGGGUGUUGGGUAUUGUGUCUCAGUGAUAAGGAAAGUGACUAAGACACAUACAUUAAGACUGAGAAGCCAGUAGGAGAAGAUUUAGGCCUUGAUUUUUAACUUGGACAGGUUAUAUUGGAAAAUUCAUUCUUAAAGGGAAUAAUGUAAAUGCAGUAAGGCUGAGUUAGAUAUUUGGAGCUGGGAAUCACACAGAUAGUGGAUAAAGUCAAGUAAUGCAUUCCUUGUCAAACUCCAUGCUUGGGAGGCAUCUAGAAGUAAGUUCUCUUUGGAAAUCUUCACAUGCUAAAUUCUUGGAUCUUUUCUUCUAGCCUUGAGUAUUAGGAUAAUCUUAUUCUGUCACUACUAGGAACAAUAAAAACUAAAGUCAAUGGCUACCUAAAUGUUAUCCCAAGGAAUCACUGUGGUGUACUUGCUUUACCACCUGUAUCAGAUAUCUCUUAUGGACCAUUUGAAUCCUCUCAGCUUCCUCUAACUCUUAUUUUAGCCUUUAUGUGGUCACCUAAGGAGCUCUGGGAAGUUUUGCCCAGGCACAGCCAGGCUAUAUCAAGCCUCUCAUCACCCAACUCAGUGCCUGCCAGCAGACAGCAUAAAGUAGGAUUUCUCAGGAGCUCAUUCAGUACCCAUAUUAUGCCCAAGCUCAGAAAAGAGGAUGUUGACAUCUUACAAGAUUAAUCCAUGAUCUAUUGAGACAGAAGUUAGAGGACAGCUGUUUCCCCUGUCUUCCCCUGAUGGAUAGUCUUAAGACACAUUUCAUAUGGCUCCUCAGGUGACUCCAUGCCCCAAUUCAACCACAGAGCUUUUUUCUUUCCUUGGGUCCACAUUCUCCAGGAAUAUCCUCAUCUUUGCAUUUUUGAUCAGCCUGGUAUUUUUUAAUGUAGGCCAACACACAAUGGUAAUGAACAAGUAGAGGAAUAUAGCAGUCAGCUUGUUUUUAACUAAACGCUAUCUGGGAAAAAGGAGGAUGGCAUUCCUUUGGGGAUAUGUAUGCUAAAUCAUUGUAAAAGUUGGUUUCUAUAGUGCAGGAAAAUUAUUUUCAGUGGAGUCAACAAAGAGAUAUGCCACAUAAUUAUUUUUAAGACUUAUUUUCAUGGUUUAAAUUGGUGGCCCCAUGCCUCAUGCAUUUGCAUUGUGCAUUUGUGAUUGGUGCAUUGUCUAGCACUAGGAUUGGGGGUGAGAGUGCUACACUGGCUUAGGGGUGGAGCCAGGAUGCAAUGUAAUGGCAGGAAGAAGGUGUGUCUCACUCUUUUGCAGGUUUCUUCCUUAUGGUUUGCAACCACCAUGAACUGCAGUCCAGCCAUGCCACCCUGCCUUGGAUCCAGUUUGGACUGAAACCUCCAAAAACUUCAUGCUAAGAGCCAGAAGCUUCCACAAUGUUCCUGACAACAAGAUCCACAUAGCCAAGUACUGGGGGGCACUGGUCAAAGCCCUUCUGCCAGGCCCUGGUCUGUAAUCCUUUGGGAAAGAAGCAGGUGAUGAAGAAACCCAGGAAAAGAGAAAUGUGUCACCACUCAGCUGUGGCUUGGACUCUGAUCUAUCUGAAGAAGCACAGAGAGUACACUGGGACAAAAAAGGAGACACACCACGAUCCCUUAAUGGAUGAAGAGAAUAGUUACUCACUUAAUAUUUUUGCAUACCCACAGUGUUAGGGAAUCCAUCACUGAAUAAGACAGGCACCUUCCUGCCUUCAUGGAUCUUCCCAUCACAAGAUGCUACAUGCCAUGGCCAGAGUUCCAAGAAGAAGGCGCUCCAUACAGAAUCCAAGAAAUACAUUGCUGCUACAGAUUCCAGCAUGUCUUUCUAUUUCCAGUCCAUGUCUUCACCUGUCAGUCAUACUUUGGUCUGCCCUGGCUGAGGCUACCCAGUCCACCCAUGAGGACUGACAAAGAAUCUUCCUGAUAUGGAUCCUGCUGGUCUCAUCUGUGGGAAGAGCUGCAGGUCCUUGGGCAAGCCUUCACCUGGCCCUUUCUCUUAAAGGUAUCACCUGGGCAUGAUUGGGCCCUUCCCUGCUUCCAACCUCUGCAGAAAGGUAGGUUUUACCACCACUGUCCUUUUUUCUUAAAAGUGGCCUUUAGACUUUUUAAUUAGGAUCCACAGGGAAAAAUACACUUUAUAUUGCAUUAAACUUUUUAUCAAACUAAUUAUGAACACAUUUCAAAGCUAUUUUUAUAAAUUUGCUGCAAAAGAAAAGAUUUCCAGCAGCCCAAUUCAGAGAUUUAUUUGUAGUAGGCACAUUUCGCAGAAAAAGAAGAUAGCUAUUAUUAGUCUAACUCCUAGAAAAAAAUAAACAUUUUGUUAAAGAUCACUGAAUUCGUACCUGAUGCUCAGCUGACAGGCAAUAGAGUGAGUAGGAAACCAGUGUCUUUGAGCAAGUCUUAGUCCCACUGUAGUGUAACAGAAAAUUGCUUAAAUGUCUUCUCAAGGAUGCUCAUUUUUUUCCAAGAAAAUGAUUAUGAAUUACAAUACAUGAUGGCUUUUAUCUCAAAUAAAAUUUAGAACAAUUUUUCCUUUACAGUUGCAACUGGAAAACAUCUUUGUUAUUGAAAUAUAAGUCAUAAUAAAUACCUAA